AUGGUCGUCGCACUCGGCAACAGAAGGAAGGCCAUUGCCUCGCUCAUUAUGCUAGUAAUCUGGGAGCUUUGAAAUGAGAAGAAUGUGCGAGUCUUCCGUAACAAAGCGACUUUGUCCACAAUCAUCUUUGCAAGCAUCAAGUCAGAGGCGAGAAAUUGGGUUCUCGUGGGGCAAAACAUUUGA
rnacentral:rRNA from 1 species